UACAGAGGUCUCAAGCGUUGUUCGGAUUCAUUGGGCGUAAAGGGUGUGUAGGUGGCGCGCUAAGUCGGGUGUGAAAUUUCGGAGCUUAACUUCGAAACUGCAUUCGAUACUGGCGUGCUUGAGGACUGGAGAGGAGACUGGAAUUCAUGGUGUAGCAGUGAAAUGCGUAGAGAUCAUGAGGAAGACCAGUGGCGAAGGCGGGUCUCUGGACAGUUCCUGACACUGAGACACGAAGGCCAGGGGAGCAAACGGG
rnacentral:rRNA from 1 species